rnacentral:tRNA from 1 species
GCCCCCGUAGCUCAGCCAGGACAGAGCAGCGGACUUCUAUUCCGACGGCCGCAGGUUCGAAUCCUGCCGGGGGCA